GUAUAAGCGAACUUAUACAGUGAAACUGCGGAUGGCUCAUUAAAACAGUUUGAAUUUAUUUGAUGAAUGUAUGAGAAUACUACUUGGAUAACCGUAGUAAUUCUAGAGCUAAUACAUGCAACGACGCCCGACCGUUUCACUACGGAAGGGCUGUAUUUAUUGGAUACCAAAACCAUCCUUCCCUCGGGAAGUUUUGUUUGAUGAUUCACAAUAACUGAUCGGAUCGCCACUGUGGUGGCGACAGGUCAUUCAACAUUCUGCCCUAUCAGCUUUCGAUGGUUGUGUAGUGGACAACCAUGGCCAUAACGGGUAACGGAGAAUCAGGGUUCGAUUCCGGAGAAGGAGCUUGAGAAUUGGCUACUACAUCUAAGGAAGGCAGCAGGCGCGCAAAUUACCCAAUCCCGAUUCGGGGAGGUAGUGACAAAAAAUAACAAUACCGGGCCUUUUUGGGCUUGGUAAUUGGAAUGAGGGAGAGUUAAACGGACCAUCGAGUAUCCAUUGGAGGGCAAGUCUGGUGCCAGCAGCUGCGGUAAUACCAGCUCCAAUAGCGUAUAUUAAAGUUGUUGCAGUUAAAAAGCUCGUAGUUGGACUUGUGUGCGCUGUCCGCGGGUGGCCUGCACCCAAAAGGGCGUUUCGGUUCGGCCCCGGUGGCGCCUUGAAAUCUGCAGCUGGGGGGACGUUGGCCUUAACUGGUCGGCGACCGCACGCCGGCUGCUCGGUUACUGUGAGAAAAUUAGAGUGUUCAAGGCAGGCAUUGGGUGCAAUUGAAUACAUUAGCAUGGAAUAAUAAAAUAUGGCUCCUGCCGUAUUUUGUUGGUUUUGACUGGUGGGAGUAAUGAUUGAUAGGGACGGUUGGGGGUGCUAGUAUUGAGCGGCCAGAGGUGAAAUUCAUGGAUUCGCUCAAGACUAACUUAUGCGAAAGCAUUCACCAAGGACGUCCUCUUUAAUCAAGAACGAAAGUUGGGGGAUCGAAGACGAUCAGAUACCGUCGUAGUCUCAACCAUAAACUAUGUCGACUUGGGAUCGGCGGUAGUUUUUUCAUUAAGACACUGUCGGGACCACGGGAGAAAUCAAAGUGUCUGGACUCUGGGGGAAGUAUGGUCGCAAGGCUGAAACUUGAAGGAAUUGACGGAAGGGCACCACCAGGAGUGGAGCCUGCGGCUUAAUUUGACACAACACGGGGAAACUUACCAGGUCCAGAGAUGUAGAGGAUUGACAGAUUGAAGCUCUUUCUUGAUCACUUCGGUGGUGGUGCAUGGCCGUUCUUAAUUGGUGGAGUGAUUUGUCUGGUUAAUUCCGUUAACGGACGAGACCUCAGCCUGCUAGUGUAGUCGGCUGGA
rnacentral:rRNA from 1 species